GUCCCUUCGGGGAUAUCCGAUAAAAUUGGAAUGAUAUAGAGAAGAUUAGCAUGGCCCCUGCGCAAGGAUCACAUGCACAAAUCGAGAAAUGGUCCAUUUUUUU
rnacentral:snRNA from 1 species